UGCAACUAAAUAGCUCUUUUAUCUCAACCAAUAUGUAAAUCAAGGCACAAUUUCCCCUUUAAGAGUGUCAGUUGGUUUUACUUUUAAGGCUACACCACCGACACAAAUUUUGUGCACUUUCCCAAAUCCUCUCCUAUCAAUUCCCCUCCAUUCAUCAGAGGAAGCCAAAAUGACCCUUGGGCUAAACUUGGUGUUCUUACUUGCAUGCCUUGGAGGUGUCAAAUCUCAAGGCCAGUUGGUGGAGUCUGGAGGGAACUUGAGAAGACCUGGAGAGUCCAUGCGUAUCUCCUGCCAAGCUUCUGGAUUCACCUUUACUAGCUCCUGGAUGUACUGGAUGAGACAGGCUCCAGGGAAAGGCCUGGAAUGGGUUUCUCAUAUAAAUCCAAGUUCAUCUAACAUUUACUACUCUGACAAAGUGAAGGGACGCUUCACCAUCUCCAGAGACAAUGCCAAAAGUCAGCUGUAUCUGCAAAUGAACAGCCUGAAAUCAGAGGACACAGCAGUCUAUCAUUGCAUGGCAGACACCAUGAGAGGAAGCAAAUCUGACACCAGGCAAAAACUUUCUCUUCCUCUGAGCAACUUUCCAACUUGA